AUUGAACGCUGGCGGCAGGCUUAACACAUGCAAGUCGAACGAGUGGCGGACGGGUGAGUAAUGCUUGGGCAUCUAGCUUAUGGAGGGGGAUAACUACGGGCAACUGUAGCUAAUACCGCGUACCAUAGGAUGAGCCAAAGUGGGAUUAGGUAGUUGGUGAGGUAAAGGCUCACCAAGCCGACGAUCUCUAGCUGGUCUGAGAGGAUGACCAGCAACACUGGGACUUAUACACGGCCCAGACUCCUACGGGAGGCAGCAGUGGGGAAUAUUGCACAAUGGGCGCAAGCCUGAUGCAGCCAUGCCGCGUGUGUGAAGAAGGCCUUCGGGUUGUAAAGCACUUUCAGCGAGGAGGCGUUACUCGCAGAAGAAGCACCGGCUAACUCCGUGCCAGCAGCCGCGGUAAUUC
rnacentral:rRNA from 1 species